GGACCCGCACAAGUAGUGGAGCAUGUGGUUUAAUUCGAAGAUACGCGCAGAACCUUACCAACACUUGACAUGUUCGUCGCGACUUUAAGAGAUUAAAGUUUUCGGUUCGGCCGGACGAAACACAGGUGCUGCAUGGCUGUCGUCAGCUCGUGUCGUGAGAUGUUGGGUUAAGUCCCGCAACGAGCGCAACCCUCACUUUUAGUUGCCAUCAUUUAGUUGGGCACUCUGAAAGAACUGCCAGUGAUAAGCUGGAGGAAGGUGGGGAUGACGUCAAGUCCUCAUGGCCCUUACGUGUUGGGCUACACACGUGCUACAAUGGCACUUACAAUAGGAAGCAAGACGGCGACGUUAAGCAAAUCCUAAAAAAGUGCCUCAGUUCGGAUUGUACUCUGCAACUCGAGUACAUGAAGCUGGAAUUACUAGUAAUCG
rnacentral:rRNA from 1 species